AGUUUUGCACAGUGGCAGUAUCAUAGUCAAUGAGGUUUAUCCAAGGCGCAAUUAUUGCUAAUUGAAAACUUUUCCCAUAUUGAGGAAUCCUCAGGAUGUUUCAAAUCUUGUUCCAUGCCCAGAAA
rnacentral:snRNA from 1 species